AAGAGAAUCCUCUGAAUGCUGACAACUUUGAUAUGUCUGCUAACACUGUAAACAUGGGCACUAAGACACAUCCAGCUGUUCUGUUCCACCACACCUCCACACAGACCAGCUGCCUGAAUUUAGAUGGCAUAAUGCAGAUAAAACUAAUUACCAAUCCACAGGAUUCUUGUGCCAUAGCACUAAGCUGCAGUGAUAAGACAAGCAACCCGAGCCAUUCAUCUGCCUCAACAACCACCACAGCCAAUGGUUGUUCUACUCAAGUAGAGGUGCAACACUGCCCAUACAUCCACCGCAGUAUUGUCCCUACAGGCAGUAACCUGAGGGAUUGUGUCUGCAAAUUGACCAAAGAACGCCAUUACCAUUUCUCCAUCAUUCGCUCUAAGCUGGACCACAUGAUGAUGAUGCUAUCCCAAAGGAGGGAGCUGGUGGAUCUUGCUGGUCAGCACAAGGGCUACAAAAUUCUGCCUUCUGCUUGACAGCUCCAUGGGGUGAAGGAAAGUGUGUUGGUCGGGACGUGGGCAAAGUCAAGAUGUCUGCAGUGAAAGGCGCAUUCUUGAUAUUGGGAAUGUUUGGCUCAGUGAACACGUUUUUUAAGCAGUCCAUACAGGAUUUCACAGAGUUUUUUUGUGAUUGUUAUGGCCAAAAAUGCUUGACUGAAGAACACCAAAGAACCAAAUAAUGCUGUGGCUUCUUUUCAAAAUUUGUUUUUUGUGCUUUUUUUUGUGUGGAAAACUACUUGAAUUGGACGAAAUUGUUUUGCAGUGAUGUUUGUUGUUAAAUGAGACCUUCUAGCUGUACUCAUGUUCGACACAUGAAUCAAAGAAGGCUUUGUCUGAAUGUGCGUUGUGAUGACGUGACAUGAGGUGUCUUGGCCCAAAUCUGAGUAAAAUCUGCGGUAAUUUAGAAAAUUGUAAGCUCCUCCACCUAUUGCGGAGUUUACUUGAUUUGCGUUUAUUUCUGCGAUCAUCUGUUUAAGGGUUUUAGUAAAGAAUAUAUUUUAAUAACUUAUAGGGGGUUGGACAAGCCAAAGCACAUUUUAAGACCAUGGGUAAAAAUAUUUUAUAGUGUGGUUACAUGCUCUAUAUUUUGAGGUCGCGUUUCAAUGUGGGAAGGUAAUGUUUAAAUAUCCUAACACUACUACAACUUGUGUUCAACCCCAUUCCAAAAAGUUGGGACGCUGUGUAAAAUGUAAAUAAAAACCAAAUGCAAUGAUCUGCAAAUCUCAUAAACCCAUAUGUUAUUGAAAAUAGAACAUAGAAAACGUAUCAAAAGUUUAAAAGGAAAUGGAAAUGUACAAUUUUAAAGAAAAAAUAAGGCAAUUUUGACUUUGAUGACUCUUUUUGGAAUUGGGGUUGUAAUUAAAGACUUUCUUCUUGAUUAAAAAAAUUGUUUAAUAUUAGAUUUUGACACAUGACACUUAUUUACAUGCUAUUGAUUUUGACAGUGGUAUAAGAAAAGUCAUUAAUCAGUUUUUUUUCCUGCAGUUUUGUGUAAAUGGGUAAUGUGUGGAAAUUGUAAAGGGUUAGUCGUAUUUUUUUACAUUUUCAUUCUCUUUCAGUGCAACAUUACACACUUGGAUAGUUGUUUUUUUGUAACCUAGUUUUUCUUGAAAACAUUCUCUCCUUCUUUCUUUAUACACCAUUACAUUCCAAGCAUUUGCCUAGUUUAGCAGAGCACUUCUGACAUUUUGCCAACUUGUCUCAUGGUUUAUAUUUAAAUAGACAAACAAACUUUAAAUGUGUACAUACUGACCGGGCCAGACUUUGACAAAAAAUUCAGGCCAGUAGUCUCACAAAAAUAUUUCCUCAAUUAAAGAGGUGGUGUUGAGAGUAAAUGUUGACUGCUGUCUACUAGUUGUUAGAGUUUGUUCUCUUUUCCUUCUUAAUAAAGAUGCAAACAGACACAACCUUGGUAUAGUGAUGUUUUGUUGAAGCUUUAGUCACACAUUCAGCACAGGUGUUGUCUCUUCAAGGCUCAGUUCCUCAUCUGCCCACCUACCGACGAACCUUUUCUCAAAAUAUCUUCCUUAAAGGCAGGGUUCCUAUGCAGUGUGUAAAAGUAUGGAAUUUGAUUUUAGUAAUUUCCAGGUCUGGAUAAAUAUGGAAAAAUGUGUUUCCAG
ensembl:lncRNA